GCCAGGCGCAGUGGCGCAUGCCUGUAAUCCCAGCCUCUUGGGAGGCUGAGACAGGAGAAUUGAGAGUUCAAAGCCAGCCUCAGCAACUGUGAGGCACUAAGCAACUCACAGAGGCCCUGUCUCUA
rnacentral:sRNA from 1 species